GAAAGCCGUGUGCGAGAAAAUCGCAUGCACGGUUUGAUGAGGGGAAGGAGGCUAUGAGCCUCUGACUUACUCUAC
rnacentral:ncRNA from 2 species